rnacentral:rRNA from 1 species
GGAGGUCUAGGACAUUACACAAUAUGAAGGCGGGCUGGAACCUCUCGGGGUUACAGCCUUGCUGAAUUAUUCACCCUUGUCUUUUGCGUACUUCUUGUUUCCUUGGUGGGUUCGCCCACCACUAGGACAAACAUAAACCUUUUGUAAUUGCAAUCAGCGUCAGUAACAAAUUAAUAAUUACAACUUUCAACAACGGAUCUCUUGGUUCUGGCAUCGAUGAAGAACGCAGCGAAAUGCGAUAAGUAGUGUGAAUUGCAGAAUUCAGUGAAUCAUCGAAUCUUUGAACGCACAUUGCGCCCUUUGGUAUUCCAAAGGGCAUGCCUGUUCGAGCGUCAUUUGUACCCUCAAGCUUUGCUUGGUGUUGGGCGUCUUGUCUCUAGCUUUGCUGGAGACUCGCCUUAAAGUAAUUGGCAGCCGGCCUACUGGUUUCGGAGCGCAGCACAAGUCGCACUCUCUAUCAGCAAAGGUCUAGCAUCCAUUAAGCCUUUUUUUCAACUUUUGACCUCGGAUCAGUAGGGAUACCCGCUGAACUUAAGCAUAUAUUAAAGCGGAAGAA